UUACGGUCAAAUCACGCUGAAAACACCGGUUCUCGUUCGAUCACCGAAGUUAAGCAUCGUAGAGCCAGGUCAAUGAUACUUAGAUGGGGACCGCUUGGGAAAACACCUGGUACUGUAAG